GACUUAUAGAAUUUCUACUCUGAUAAGAAUGGUAUUAAACAGUGGUGAAAUAAAUUUGAGUACAGCAUCAUGAACCUGCUUUCUAGGAUCUUACAAUUUAGUCAGAGAAACAGACUGCUAACUACGUAGGGCACCAGUAGCAUGCUAGAGGUGUGAGCUGAGAGUCAUGGUGGUAGAGUUGAGGGCUUUGGUCAUUGCAGAGUAGCUAGGUCUGGAGGAUGAAUAAAAGUAUGGCCAAGUGGAGGUUUUAGUAUGUAUGAAAAGCACUGAGAAAGGAUGUGGCUUGAAGUGGUAGUGUGUGGAGAAUGUACAACUACUUUGGGAAACAAGAGGCCUGAUGCUUUGGGACCAGGCCCAUCCCUUUAGAAAAAUCAAAGUUUUUUAAGCAGGAGAAUUCCAGCUGCAUAUUUUUGGUAUGUUACUCUGUGGUUUGGAGGAAGUGGUCUACAGGGAGGGGAGAUCAGUAGAAGGAAAACAAGUCAAGAGGCUUUUGGGGAACACACCAAUAAGGAAAAUAAUCCUUACCAUAAAGAGCUUAUGUUUUCUUGAGAGGACAAAAAAACAUAUGUUUAGAUGGUGGUUAAGCAGAAAAGGAGAUCAAGUCCUGUAGGUAUAGGUGGGAUAUUUCUAUUUUCCUUGAUUAUUUUUUUAAAUAUUUUUUUUAGUUGUACUUGGACACAAUACUUUUACUUUAUUUAUUUAUGUUUAUGUGGUGCUGAGGAUGGAACCCAGGGCCUCUCACCCGUGCUAGAUGAGCGCUCUACUGCUGAGCCACAACCCCAGCCCCAAGGAGAUAUUUCUAUUUUUCAGUAGGAUGUUUGGAGAAACACUUACUGAAAUAAUAUUUGAGCAAAAUCCAAAAUAUGAGAGCAAUACAGGGCCAGGAUAUAAGGGUAAAGAGCCUUCCAAAUAAGGGAAGGGGUGGUAGAAAAAGCCUGGAUCCAGGAAUGAUCCUGAUGUGAUUAGAGAAAAAAAAAAAAAAAAACAUGGGAACAUGUUAGUAAAGGAGAAUAAGCAAGGGGAGAGAAAUAGAGAUGAUGUGUUGGGUACUGGGAGGUUGUAAGGCCUUGUAAGCCAUCAUAGGACUUUGGAUUUCACCCAGAUAUGGAGCCCCUGGGGGACUGAACAGAUGAGGGACAAGAUCAUGCAAUGUACAUGAGUAGUAUUAAAGGUGACACAUGAUGGCUUAGGCCCGGGAGUAAAGAUGGUUGGAUUUGGGUAUGGUUUGAUUGGAGGUAGAACCCAUAGGAUUGCUGUUGGAAAGAAUGAGCCACAGCUGUUGUAGAAGUCUAGAAAUGAGUUGAUGAAGACCUCAUCAAAAGCAUUGGCAAUGAGGGAGCAGCCACAAGGAAGAAUUCAUGGGUGAUUUCUUAGCAUUGGUAGAAUUAGAGAUAAUUAGCUGAGAGUUUUUAGCUGAGAUGUUAGUUGAAAUGAAUGUGACCAUCCAGGUAGGCAUGUAUCCUCAGUCAUGGAGAAAAGGGUAGAAGGUUCUAGAAGCCAAAGGAGGAGAAAGUUUCAAGGAAGGAAUGAUCAUAUAGCAAUAAAGGAAAUUAAGGGUUAAAAAUAAGUCACUGGAUAUAAUUUAUCUUAAGUGAGCCCCAUUUUUAUAUUUGAAUGUGAGGGCCCUGCAGGGUUUUCAAACUGAUGGCCUUCCUCUGACUCAGAAUGUAUACACACCAUUGUUUGCCUGACACAAUGUUUUAAAAUAUUAGUGUUUGAAUGCUUUUAAGGUUUGACUUGUGUUUUCUCCUCUCCACAGUUUUUUCACUCAUAUGUACUCUGCAAACUCAUCAUCCAAAGUGUACAUCUCUCAUUUAGGUGACCUGCCUGACCACUGUAGGCAUUUGAGUUUGUGAUUCUUUGUGAUGCAUUAGCUUUCACCUGGACAAACUGCCUAGGAAAAGACCUCCCGUGGGUGGGUGACCUGGAGUUGACCAGGUCAAACCUUCAGUCCAGGGCUGCCAGCAUAUUUUGUGCAUCAGUCAGCCUGUUGUCAUGCAGCUAGUGGCCCUGUCUUAGUUUUUCAGAUUCAGAAACUGAUCAGCCUUAGGGCUGUUCAUUUGGAAAUGUUAAAUGCAUGCUCAAAGCUCACAGGUAUUAUUUUGCUUCAUGUGAAUUAUUUAAUCAUCACAACAACCCUAGGAAGAAGGGCCUGUUAUUAGUCUCCCUUUUGUACAGAAGAGGAAGCAGAAUGAGGAAAUAGAUAUGAAGGGACUGAUAAAUUCCCCAAGGUCACAAAUAUAUCAGUAGGAACUAAUUUCAGAGCCCACAUUUAUACCAAUAUACAUUCCCAUAACAAGAGAAUUACACACAAGAAUGCCAGGUGAAUCAUAUGAAAUGAGGACUAUGUGUUUGCAAUCAGAGAGUGUCUUUUCUCCAUAUAAAAUGCUAUUAGGAAAACCAGAUUAUCAAGAGUUGCCUAAUUAGCAAGAGUAUGGGAUUAGAACAAAAGAGUCAGUUAUAAAUGAUGGAAAGUUUAAAUGGCAUCAGACUCUGAUACAAAGUCACAUUCUCAUCUCCAGAAUGUACCUGUUAAGCAGUUAUUUGCAUCUCUUUGUCUUACAGGGCAUCUCUUCUCCUGGGUAGUGCUUAUGGGGGCAUUGCUCACUUUGUCAUUACGGUUCUCUUUCAUUGUUUCCAUUUCUGGUAAAUACAAUUCCCUGCAUUGCAUGUUAAUAUUUUAACUUUAGUUGUGGUCUUUGAUUUGAUCCUGUGUACCUAAUUUCCUAAUAUCUGUUAUGGCUUAUCUUUUUUUUUGGUUUUAUGGUUGACUUCUUGAGGACAUUCUUAGUCCCAAUACUUCCUGGGGGUGGUUGGGUUCUGGGAGGUAUUAUUGGAACGCUGAUGUCAACCAGUGUAGUCACUAAAUGAUUUUAACAAUUGUAGCAGGUUAUUAUUACUUUUGACAAAUAAUCAUUUUAUGUGUUUCACUUGUUUUAAUGUGAGUUCUGUCUUUGUAUAACUGUUUUAAUACUUAAGCCUGAGUAUAUCAUAUCCACAUUUUUUUUUUUGGUACCUGGCAUUGAACACAGGGGCUCUUAACCACUAAGCCACAUCCCCCUUCCUUUUUAUUUUUUAUUUUGAGACAGGAUCUCACUGAGUUGCUGACACUGGCUUUGAACUUGUGAUCCUCCUGCCUCAGCCUCCGGAGCCACUGGGAUUUAGAGGCAUGCAUCACUGUACCUGAUUCAUACCCACAUUCUUUUUUUUUAUUUGUUUGUUUUUUUUUCAUACCCACAUUCUUAAGCGGAAAAUAAAUGAACAGAUCAAGUCCCAAGUAGUUUUUAAAGAGCCAUAAGUUUAUUAUUAAAAGUAUUACAUAAAACUACAUAAUAGUCAAUCACAACCUGUUCAUACAGUUGGUGCAAAAAUAAAGAACCUAGGGCUGGGAUUGCGGUUCAGUGGUAGAGCACUCGCCUGGCAUGUGUGAGGCCUUGGGUUCAAUCCUCAGCACCACAUAAAAAUAAAUAAUAAAUAAAGGAAUUGUGUCUGACUACAACUAAAAAAAAUAUUAAAAAAAUAAAGAACCUAGAUUUGGAACUCUCAUGAUACACAAUAUAGUACAUAUAUCACAAUUUAUAAUUCACAUACUUCACUUGGUACAUAUAGGCAGAGCAGCUAUUAAUAUCUUCAUUUUAUAGUUUAGGUAACAGACUCUGAGACUAAACAACUUGUAUGAGAUGACUGAGCAGCUUGAUGAGAACCACAACCUCUUUGUGGCAUUUCCCUACUUUUCCUACUACUUCAAAAUGGUAGUUACUCUGGUAUCAGAUACUAGAUUGGGAUAUUGGACACUUGUUAAUGUGUCCAGUUUUUUUUUUAUAUUAAUGAAUCAUAAUUCAUCCUAGGUUAUUAUAAAUUGAUGUCACAUCACAAUUUUGCCUAAAUCACAGUAAAAUAUGCACUUUUCUAAAUUAAAAUAGUCAAAAUUAAAUUUAUAAAGAAUGUUAAUUAUCUUCACAUUAUAUUUUUAAGAGAAUGUGAAGUCAGUUAAAUCUAGCUAACUUACAUCUGCAAGUUCUUAGCUUAGACAACAGGAAUUCUAGCGUGUACAAAUUUUAGCCUUUUAAGGGAAUUCAUUAAAAAUACAUAAAGAACUAACACCUCUUUUGCUUGAGUUUUCCCUGCUUACUGGCGAUUGACAAUAAAAUGUUGCUGGAUUCCUGAUGUGUGGGGGGUUGAGUUCUUUAUAACCUUUGCUGUUAGACCUGUAAAGGUGAUUGUGGGUUGAUUUCUGCAUUCUUGAAAUAAAUAACAUUCUGUUUGAAAAUUAUAUUUUGUAUAAAUACAUCAAAAUGGAAGUGAAUAACUCAUUAACAUAAGAAGUACCUACAUAUUUGGCAGUACAUAUAUUGUACCAUAUAUCCUCCCCUCUUUUUUUUAAAUGCCAAAUGGCCAGGUGUGAAAACCAACAGAUGCUGAAAGCUGGAGCUAAAGUCAGUAUGCUCAUCACAGAGAAAACUUUUGGCAUAUGAGAAUAAAUAUGAAUUGUUGUCCCAGAAGUUCUUAUCAUUUAUUUUUGGAAAUUUUGUUAGUCUCGUUUUAUUUUUACUUAUUUAUUUUUUGUGGUACUGGAGGUUGAACCUGGCAAUUCACUCAGUUAUAUUGAGCUAUAUCCCUAACCUCUUUUAUUUUAUUUUGUCUUGCUAAGUUACCCAGGCUGGCCUCAAACUUGAGAUCCUCCUGCUUCAGCCUUCCAGUGACUGGGAUUAUAGGCAUGUACAACCAGACCUAGCAGUCUCAUUUUAAAAGUAGGAAAUUAUAGUACAAUAACAAUAAUUUCUUAGUGUUGCCAAUUGCUAGAUUGUUCUUGUGAUUGUUUUAAUGCACAUGAUAGAUAUUAAAUAGAAGAUCUGUUUUAUUUCCAACAAAAUCAUUGGAAGAACCUUUUUCCUGUAACAUCUUUGUGUGUGUGUGUGUGUGUGUGUGUGUGUAAUAUCUGGAAAGGAUUAUGUGAUACAUAACUUUCAAGGUUCUCUCCUUACAGAAUUUUGAAGUGGUAAAGUUAACAUUGCUUUUAAUUCAUCCAAAAAACGUGAAGAGUCCUGAAGUAUAAGGUUUUUUGGUUUAUUUGGUUUGGGUUUUUUUUUUUAAUUAAUGGGAUAAAAUAAUUUAAAGAUAGUUUUUAGAAGUGUUAUGAAAAGUAACAUACCAGACAAUUGAACAAAUUAGAAUUAUGAUAAUAUCUAUUAUUAUUCAUUUUUCAUAAAAAUUUUAUAAUCACUUGUUAACUAAUAAAGGAUAUACUUCCUGAAGUCAUUAGCUAACUCAAUUUUACUGCACUCUUUUUAUUUGCCUAUUUAAAAAAUUAAUUUCCUUUUUACACAAAAUCAUUGUGACAUUUUCCUUUUGCAUUAAUAUAUAUUUAUGCUUCAUCUAAUUAAUGAAAUUUCAGCCUAUAAAGCACACAAAGAGAUUUUCAUUUCAAGUUGUGCCUAAACAUCUUAAUUUUAAAAAUGAAUACUGAUUGUAAAUCUAAAUGACAUGAAUUUUUCAUAUUUGAUAUAAUAGUACCAUAUGAUUAGGCAAUCCCUGAUUAUGUGACAUUCUGGCAUAAGAGAAAUGACUUAGACCAAGGCAGAUUUGGAGAAGCUCACUUUAGCUGAAUACUUGGGCCAAAGUCUAAUUUGGAAUAUGGGAGUCUUUCAGUGUAGCUUCUGAACAGUGCAUAGCAUGAUAUGAUGUACUAGAAGUGCCUGGAGGAACAGACUAACUUUGCCUACCCUGCUUCCUUUCUGCUUUUACCUGUUCUAGAUAUUUUUUCACUGUUAUUUUCCAAAGGAAAAAAUGAGAAAUUACUCCAUAGAAUCCCUGCUGCUUGGAUUUAUAGCCUUUCCCAUUUCCAUUUUAUGAAAGUACCUGCAGUCUAGUAUACAUGUUCUAUUCAGACUUUUAGAUUUCUGAUAAAACGUAAGAGGAAAAGAAACUUCAGCUGAGGGUUGUCUCUAGGAACUAUGCUAGGGGAUUACCUAAAUUGAUUUUGCUUAAUCCUUCAAUCACUUUAUGAUGGUAAAGACAAUUGAUGAAUCUCAUUCUGUAGAGAAGACUGGAUAAGAGAGGAGUAGGAUAAUUUGUCAGGUUUUUAUAGAUAGUAUAUGAUUGGGAAGUAGAAUUUAAACACAAUGAUUUUAGAGUUUUUUAAUCAUCUAUCUCACUUUGAUUUUUUAAAAGUAAUCAGUUUGAACAUGCCACAAGUUGAAAGCAGUGUUUUGCUUAACACUUCUAUUUUAAUUUCCAGGUUCAGGUGACCUCAUUUUGCCAGAAUCCUGGGUGCUCCUUAGUUGAGAGAGUUUUUUGUUUUUUGUUUGGAUCUUCUUUAACUGUAGGUGGAAAUUGCUAUUCUGGCAACACUUAACCUCACUCUAUUCUAUUCUUUCUCAUGGAUGUUGGUGCUUAGCUUUUUUGUUUGUUUGUUUUAAUUGAAUUGCAAGUCCUAGAAUUAAUAACAUAACAGUUUUUAUUUCUUCCAGCAUUCUUCUUUUUUGGCUUCUUCUGACUUAUAUGGAGGCAGAUUUUACAUAGUGAGCUGUUACUUAAUCUGUAUCAACUUUUCAUCAACUUCUCUGGGACCCAGAAAUGAAAUAAGGAGACCCAUUUUCCACUUUUGUAUGAUUUGAUUUUUUUAAAAAAUUUUGGUACUUGGGAUUAAACCCAAGGGCACUUUACAACUGAAUUACAUAUUCAAUCCUUUUUUAAUUUUUUUAUUUUGAGACAGGGUCUUGCUAAGUUGCUGAGGCUGGCCUUGAAUUUGUGACCCUCCUGCUUCAGCCUCCUGAGUUGCUGGGAUUACAGGUGUGCACCACUGCUCCUUGUCUCUUUUUACCUCUUUAAAAAAGUGUUUGCUAAAAGGUUUGGACUAAUGUUCUUUGAGCACUUGAAAAAAAAAGUGUUCAAUAAAAAGAAAACUCUAUAGCAUCUUAGAAGUCCAAAUCCCUUGUCAACUGGUCUACUCUGGAGGCUGCCUAAUAAACCCUAAUAAUUCUGGAGGAAUUAAAGCAAUUUAUGUUUAUUUUAUGAUCCAGUGACAUUAGCCUUGUCUCAGUUCCUGUGGUAUGUCAUGCUUUCUUCACAGAAAUAUCUCACAGAAGUUUCCUCUGUGUGCAGAGGUCUUUCUCCCUGCGCCCGUCACUCAGGUUAAUGCCCAUUUCAGUUCAUCCCUGCUUCCUCAGGGAAAGCAUUCCAGACUUUUCUGACAGGUGGCUUCCCCCUGCUGCAGUGCUCUGAGGGCACCGUUUCCUCCUUCAUAUACUUGUAUGGUUAUUAAUUUUGUAUUUAUUUGUGUGAUUCUUUGCUCUUUCCCAUCACUAGAUUAAAAAUUUUAUGAGAGAAGAAACCAUGUCUCUUUGUUGUUGUGUUGUAUGUUAUUUAUCAUUGUCUCCCUACUGAGAAGGUGGUGAAUAAAUACAUGUUAAAUGAAAAAAAUGGCUUUUUUGUUUUAUUUUUUUUUAAAGCUGGAGAGGUAAAAUUCUUCUAUACAUACAGUUUUUAGAAUUGCUAGUCCAGAUGUUGUAGAUUUUGUCCCUGGACUAAGAACAUCAGACAGUUGUAUGCUUAGACAGUUUUACUUUGUUUUCUCAUAUUGUUUCUUCUUAAUUGAAUCUUGGCAGUCUGUCCUUGGCUCAAAUUGGGAUAUGUUGUGAGCAUUAUCAUAUCAAGUAUACAGUAUAUAGUAACUUUUCAGGUAAUAUUUAUGAGGACUCAGAAAUUUCUUUGUUAUUUCAAGAAAAAAAUGCUACUCUUGGAGUAAAUGUUCUCUUUUCUUGGAGGCACUGUUGUCUUAUGCCUAUCUUUCUGAAGCUCAGAGCCAUAUCUGUAGUUUGCAUUUAAAAAUUAGGGUUUCUGGGUUCACUUAUCUCAGCCAUAGCCUCAUCUUAAUUUUUAGAAUUUUAACUGUGAUUUAUUUACAUGUUUUAUAGUUUCUUUAAUGAAAGACUAUUAAUACCUUUCUAGGAAUAAUGCAAAUGCCAUCAGAUCUUAAAAAAACAAAAGCCAUAUUAAUGGUGCUUGCUGGGCAAGAAAUGAAUUCAGUGUGUCUCUUCAUACUGGGCACUAGAAAUUUUUCCCUUUGAUCGUUUUUCUGCUCAUGUCGUGAAAGCACAGGCAUUGCUUCAAGAGAUCUGAACUAGGAUAUGAGUAUCAGGCACACCUUGGGACACACAUGCUGGAAACCCUUCAUCCUGUAGAUACAGAACAAGGAAGUUGUGUGUUCACUGCUGUGCAGGAUCUAACUGAAGGCCUUGCACUUAGCCUGACUGGAUAUCAGAGCCCCUUUAUUUUCCUUCAUUUACAAAAUAAAUGUAGCAAGAUCCCAGCUUCUCAUCAAGACCCCCCCUUUAUAUAUACAUAUAUGCAUAUAAUAUAUAUGUAUAUAUAAAAAUAUAUAAUAAGUUUGCUUGGAUCUUGCUAAAUUGCUGAGGCUGGCCUCAAACUUUUGAUCCUCCUGUCUUAUCCUCCUGAAUCACUGGGAUUACAGGCAUGUGCCAUGCAUCUGGCUUGACAAAUUUUCAAGUUAUAUGACCUCAAUCCAGGGUCAGUAUUCUUUGAGACACUCCUAGGGAAGCAUGUUCUCCUGAAAGCCUUGAGAAGGAAAUACAUAAACUGCUCUAUUAUGUUGGUACAGAGAGUUAAUGUAACAAGUUAUUGUGUAAGUUAGGUUUUGAUGAAACAAAUAUGAGUAAAUAAAUAUGUUACUGAUUUAAGAAAUAAAGAUUAGGAAGGCCACAUAUAUUUUAAAAAACAAAAGAGUUAUUACUUGUAACAGAAGUAAGAAUUCUCACUGGGCAUGGUGGCACAAGCCUAUAAUCCCAGGAGAGGCUGAGGCAAUAGAACAGCAAUUUGAAAACCAGCCUCAGCAACUUAGUGAGGUCCUGAGCAACUUGGUGAGACCCUGUCUCAAAAUAAAAUAUAUAAGCCAAGUGCGGUGGCAUGUGCUUGUAAUCCCAGCAGCUCAGGAGGCCGAGACAGGAGAAUCUUGGGUUCGAAGCCAGCCUCAGCAACGGUGAGACGCUAAGCAACUCAGUGAGACCCUGUCUCUAAUAAAAUACAAUCCCUGAGUUCAAUCCCUGGCACCAAAGUAAAUAAAUAAAUAAAAUAUAUAAAAAGGCAGAGAGCUGGGGAUGUGGCUCAGUGGUUAAGCACCCCUGGAUUCAAAUCCCAGUACAAAACAAAACAAAAAAGAAGAAAGAAUUCUCAGUUAUCUCUAGGGUAGAGAUAUCUUACAUAAAAUUAAGUGAUUUUUGCAAAGGUUGUUAUAGGACUGUGGAGGGUUACACCCUGUCUCAAAAUGAAAAAUUAAAAAAGGGCUGGGGAUGUGUCUCAUUGGUUAAGUGCCUCUGAGUUCAAUCCCUAGUACCAAAUAUAGAUAAAUAAAAACAAAGAGCUGAGGAUGUAGUUCAGUGGUAGAAUGCCUUGAGUUUGAUCCCUAGGACUGAAAAACAGUAUGCUGUGUGUAUGUAUGUAUGAAUAAUAUUGCUCAUAUUUUUGUAUUAAGUCUCAUUCCUGAAGGAAUCUAUAUUUGAGUUGAGAUGUGAGGCUUUGACAGAUUCUGAGAUUGGCUUGAAGAGUAAAACCAGUCAAGUAAAAAUUAUAUUAACUGUAGAUAGUCAAAAAGGUAAAAUUUCUGCUAGCUAUAAAUAUAUUUCAGAGGGUGUAAGAAUAUAGUGGAUAAAAGAUAAAGUUGUAGAUGCUCCUCAGAUUGUUCCUGUGGUAAUUUGUAAAAAGAAGCUAUUUCUGAAGCUAUAAAGGAUAAAUGAAUUAAGUAAGAUAAGCCAUCUAGGAUGUAAAUAUCCAAGGUCCAGUUUGGGGAUAAACAUAAAAUCUCAAAAAUUCAUGUUAAGUUGUUGUCAUGGCCUCACUAUGACCAGAUAAUGUUUUCCUUGAAGGAAAAUAUGUAGUUUGGAGAUGUAGGCUAGGGAGGGAGUUUAGGAUUUACGAGGACCAUUCAUUUUUUUAAAAUUAUUAUUAGUUGUUCAAAACAUUACAUAGCUCUUGACAUAUCAUAUUUCAUACAUUUGAUUCAAGUGGGUUAUGAACUCCCAUUUUUACCCUGUAUACAGAUUGCAGAAUCACAUUGUUUAUACAUCCACGUUUUUUUUUUUUUUUUAAAG
rnacentral:lncRNA from 1 species